AUACGGAGGGGGCUAGCGUUGUUCGGAAUUACUGGGCGUAAAGCGCGCGUAGGCGGAUUGGUUAGUUGGGGGUGAAAUCCCAGGGCUCAACCCUGGAACUGCCCUCAAUACUACCAGUCUAGAGAUCGAGAGAGGUGAGUGGAAUUCCUAGUGUAGAGGUGAAAUUCGUAGAUAUUAGGAAGAACACCAGUGGCGAAGGCGGCUCACUGGCUCGAUACUGACGCUGAGGCGCGAAAGCGUGGGGAGCAAACAGGAUUAGAAACCCUAGUAGUCC
rnacentral:rRNA from 1 species